CUGACUUGGAGGGGUUUGGAUGAAAACACUACCAUUUAUAGUUAUACUGGCUUCAGACUUUCAGCGCUCCCUGAAGUAGAAGAGAGAAGGCUCUCUAUUCAGGAAGUUGAAAUAUGUAGGCAAAAAACUCUCCCUAUUCCAUCAGGAGCCAGAAAAAGCUUUGCUAAUCUUUAACUAAAAGAAUAAAUACUCAACAUCAUGGCGGUCACUUGGGACUGAAAGCACACCCUUUGCAAGUGUGAUUUACUUAUGGAAUGUUUGCUUAAUUCUAUUUCAGAUUCAUUCUACCACUUCCAACCUGAAAACGGUGGGCCACAGGAAGUCUUUCUGGUUUCA
rnacentral:lncRNA from 1 species